rnacentral:rRNA from 1 species
GUCGAACGGUAGCAGGAAGCAGCUUGCUGCUUCGCUGACGAGUGGCGGACGGGUGAGUAAUGUCUGGGAAACUGCCUGAUGGAGGGGGAUAACUACUGGAAACGGUAGUUAAUACCGCAUAACGUCGCAAGACCAAAGAGGGGGACCUUCGGGCCUCUUGCCAUCGGAUGUGCCCAGAUGGGAUUAGCUAGUAGGUGGGGUAACGGCUCACCUAGGCGACGAUCCCUAGCUGGUCUGAGAGGAUGACCAGCCACACUGGAACUGAGACACGGUCCAGACUCCUACGGGAGGCAGCAGUGGGGAAUAUUGCACAAUGGGCGCAAGCCUGAUGCAGCCAUGCCGCGUGUAUGAAGAAGGCCUUCGGGUUGUAAAGUACUUUCAGCGGGGAGGAAGGUGUUGAGGUUAAUAACCUCAGCAAUUGACGUUACCCGCAGGAGAAGCACCGGCUAACUCCGUGCCAGCAGCCGCGGUAAUACGGAGGGUGCAAGCGUUAAUCGGAAUUACUGGGCGUAAAGCGCACGCAGGCGGUCUGUCAAGUCGGAUGUGAAAUCCCCGGGCACAACCUGGGAACUGCAUUCGAAACUGGCAGGCUAGAGUCUUGUAGAGGGGGGUAGAAUUCCAGGUGUAGCGGUGAAAUGCGUAGAGAUCUGGAGGAAUACCGGUG